UACGGGGGGAGCAAGCGUUGUUCGGAUUUACUGGGCGUAAAGGGCGCGUAGGCGGCCACCGCAAGUCGGUUGUGAAAUCUCUGGGCUUAACCCAGAAAGGUCAACCGAUACUGCGGGGCUAGAGUGCAGAAGGGGCAACUGGAAUUCUCGGUGUAGCGGUGAAAUGCGUAGAUAUCAGGAGGAACACCAAUGGCGAAGGCAGCACUCUGGGACGUGACUGACGCUGAGACGCGAAAGCGUGGGGAGCAAACAGG
rnacentral:rRNA from 1 species